AUGCUAACUGAAGAUGAGUUUGAGACGGCGUUGGCUACGCUGUUAGAUAAGUACGAUCUGAGAAAGCACCCCUACAUGACCCAAAUAUACGACAUCAGAAAGGGACAGACUAAGCAUUUGCGGAAGAAGAUUGCUUACGAGAUAGUGACAAUGAAAGGGAACAAAGGAGCUAUCCCAGAGUUUCUGUAUGAUGUGAUCGUUGACUGA
rnacentral:rRNA from 1 species